rnacentral:misc_RNA from 1 species
CCUAAGAGAUACGUGUUAUGUGAAGUGCUCACACAGAUUGUCUGAUGAAGAACGAGCAAAAGCGCGUCUGCGAAGCUGACAGAAGUCCCCUUCGUCUAGAGGCCUAGGACACCGCCCUUUCACGGCGGUAACAGGGGUUCGAAUCCCCUAGGGGACGCCAAUGCGCGGUAUGAGUGAAAGGCGUACCACUUAUCUGACGAAAGUCAGAGAAUAACUAAGCUAAUUCAAACGAGUUAUCUUACUUAUUAUGCUCUUUAACAAUCUGGAACAAGCUGAAAAAUUGAAAACAAAUCAAUAUAUCAACGAGGUAUAUUGGUGAGUCUCUCAAAAUCUCAAACCUUAAAGGUUGUCACGCAAAGUUUAUCUUUGAAAGAGACACUUUCGGGUUGUGA